GACAAAUGUUGUUUUGUCAGUAUUUUGGACAGAGUGAAUCAUCCCAUUAGACUCUACAGAAAGGGAAGUCAGAAUGAAUUGUCACAUCUGUGAUUUUAGCAUCACUCACUGCAUUGCAUUUGCAUACCCUUGUUCUGACAGUUCUCUUAUGCUUCCUUGCAGUCUGCUCUGUUUUCCUAAAGUUUAUGGCACCAUUCAGUCUUUGCUCAUGUAUAUAGAUAAGUGAGCUUGCCAAAGCCUACUAUGCAUUCUUUAUACCGAUCACUGUGGCAUGGUCAGACCAAAACCAUUUCUUUGGUUCUCUCUGGCUUCUGAUCUUCAGCUAACUUUGGCUUCAGGCUUAAAUUCUGCAGAUCUCGUUUCAGGAGAGAAAAAAAAAAAAGUUUUAGGUGCAUAAUAUGCAUAAGAGCCACAAUAGAUUACCUUGCCAAAAUCAUUUGUUAGUAAGUAAUAAUUAGUGGGUGGGUUUGUUUUUUCCCAGUCUAUUUGAUACUAGAACAGGUUACCACCCCGUUCUCAGUUUACUUGCAGCAUAACAGUCGUAACUCUGAUGUGUUUUUUGUUAACUCAAUUUAGCCACUAAUCCAACUAAAUCACUUUAAGAAAAAGGAGGGGGGAAAAAAGAAAAGGCACAGAAGGUGUUCUUUUUCCCUCACAGUGUGGAGAAAAACAAAUAAAAUAAUCAAGGUCUCUCUGAGCAUGGUGACAACAGGCAAUUGUCAUAAUUUUGUAUUCUUUUUAAACUAUGGAAAAUGGAGGAAACAGCAAUUGAAAGCCAGUAAUAUAAACCCAGAGAAAAGGAGAAAGUGGGAAGCAAAGGAAACAUGGGGAAACAAAAGAAAUAGGCAAAGGCAAGGCCAAAGGACUGGCAGUAGAGGUGGAGGGGGAGCAGCUCUAAGAAAAGAACAGAUAUCUUAUUUCAGGUUGCAGGUCUUCAGGGGUGGCUCAUGGGGUUGUGGAGGACUGGAGAACAGUAGUGUUAAGUAAAUAGUGCUCAGGGAAAGGCUGCUGGCAACUUUGUUUGCUGGUUUUGGGGGAGAUGCAGAUGCUUAUUUCUUGCUCUUUCCACUCCUGUAUCUAUGGGACAGCCAUUUAGCACAGGGGCGCUGCAGCUGAUGCCAGUUACCACUGGAUAUGGUAUAUAUCCAAUGGGCAUAGCAUAUGCGUGUUGGUAGCAAAACAGUGUUGAUGGAAAAAUGCUUUGUGAUUUUGAGAGCUCAGUUAUUUUCAGUCCUCUGUAGGAUUAUAAGCCAGUUGUGAGGAAAUGAAAGUUCUUCGCAUAAUAUCCAAAAAUUCAUUUGUUAUCUUUUGCCAUUACUCUCCCAUAGGCACUAUUGAUCUAACUUCCACCAAGCAUGAAUGCUGGCACAAAUUGCAUGGAAAAAAAAUGGUUUUCUGUACUUUUGUGAAAUGUUGGUGCUGUUGGGUAGUAGGGGUAGUACCUUCCAUAGCUCUGCUCUGUUUUUCCUUUACUUGCUGCUGCUUAGCUUUGUGUUGUGCUUUCAGAAUCCAAGUAGCUAUUCUCUCCUUAAAAAACAAAAACCAGAAACAAACAAACAAAAAAAGAGAACAGAACAGUAUUUGGUAAUUAUGAGCUUAGUUUGUGCUUUUUAGUUCAGUUGUGAGUAGACGGCAUAAUAUACAAAAUAAUGGAAAAGCUGCAUUGCUAAUUUGUGAAGAAAGUUGAUGCAUUUUUAAUGUAAAAUGUAACAUAAGCAUACACUCAAGACCACAGCAAUCAUUUAAAAUAAUGUAACAAUCCAAGUAACUGCGUUAGACUCAUCCCCUUUAAAAAUAUAUACCC
ensembl:lncRNA